CCUACGGGAGGCAGCAGUGGGGAAUAUUGGACAAUGGGGGGAACCCUGAUCCAGCCAUGCCGCGUGUGUGAAGAAGGCCCUCGGGUUGUAAAGCACUUUCAGUGAGGAAGAACGCCUGGUGGUUAAUACCCAUCAGGAAAGACAUCACUCACAGAAGAAGCACCGUCUAACUCCGUGCCAGCAGCCGCGGUAAUACGGAGGGUGCGAGCGUUAAUCGGAAUUACUGGGCGUAAAGCGCGCGUAGGUGGCUUGAUAAGCCGGUUGUGAAAGCCCCGGGCUCAACCUGGGAACGGCAUCCGGAACUGUCAAGCUAGAGUGCAGGAGAGGAAGGUAGAAUUCCCGGUGUAGCGGUGAAAUGCGUAGAGAUCGGGAGGAAUACCAGUGGCGAAGGCGGCCUUCUGGACUGACACUGACACUGAGGUGCGAAAGCGUGGGUAGCAAACAGGAUUAGAUACCCUGGUAGUC
rnacentral:rRNA from 1 species